UUAGCAGAAGCCAAAAAGAGGCAUUUCAUUGUUAAUGAAAAAACUGGACAAAAAGCCCUGCUAAA
rnacentral:tRNA from 1 species